rnacentral:rRNA from 1 species
CGGAUCCGCCGGCCGCUGCAGAGUUUGAUCCUGGCUCAGAUUGAACGCUGGCGGCAGGCUUAACACAUGCAAGUCGAGCGGGGGAAGGUAGCUUGCUACUGGACCUAGCGGCGGACGGGUGAGUAAUGCUUAGGAAUCUGCCUAUUAGUGGGGGACAACAUCUCGAAAGGGAUGCUAAUACCGCAUACGUCCUACGGGAGAAAGCAGGGGAUCUUCGGACCUUGCGCUAAUAGAUGAGCCUAAGUCGGAUUAGCUAGUUGGUGGGGUAAAGGCCUACCAAGGCGACGAUCUGUAGCGGGUCUGAGAGGAUGAUCCGCCACACUGGGACUGAGACACGGCCCAGACUCCUACGGGAGGCAGCAGUGGGGAAUAUUGGACAAUGGGCGCAAGCCUGAUCCAGCCAUGCCGCGUGUGUGAAGAAGGCCUUAUGGUUGUAAAGCACUUUAAGCGAGGAGGAGGCUACUUUAGAUAAUACCUAGAGAUAGAUGGACGUUACUCGCAGAAUAAGC